GACGAACGCUGGCGGCGUGCUUAACACAUGCAAGUCGAACGGAAAGGCCCUGCUUUUGUGGGGUGCUCGAGUGGCGAACGGGUGAGUAACACGUGAGUAACCUGCCCUUGACUUUGGGAUAACUUCAGGAAACUGGGGCUAAUACCGGAUAGGAGCUCCUGCUGCAUGGUGGGGGUUGGAAAGUUUCGGCGGUUGGGGAUGGACUCGCGGCUUAUCAGCUUGUUGGUGGGGUAGUGGCUUACCAAGGCUUUGACGGGUAGCCGGCCUGAGAGGGUUACCGGCGACAUUGGUACUGAGGUACUGCCCAGACUCCUUCUGGAGGCAGCAGUGGUGAAUAUUGCACAAUUGGCGGAGGCCUGAGUCAGCAGCUCCGCGUGCGGGAUGACGGCCUUCGGGUUGUAAACCGCUUUCGCCUGUGACGAAGCGUGAGUGACGGUAAUGGGUAAAGAAGCACCGGCUAACUACGUG
rnacentral:rRNA from 1 species